UNGGAGAGGAAAGUGGAAUUCCUAGUGUAGCGGUGAAAUGCGUAGAUAUUAGGAAGAACACCAGUGGCGAAGGCGACUUUCUAGACGAAAACUGACGCUGAGGCGCGAAAGCCAGGGGAGCGAACGGGAUUAGAUACCUCGGUAGUCCUGGCCGUAAACGAUGGGUACUAGGUGUAGGAGGUAUCGACCCCUUCCGUGCCGGAGUUAACGCAAUAAGUACCCCGCCUGGGGAGUACGACCGCAAGGUUGAAACUCAAAGGAAUUGACGGGGGCCCGCACAAGCGGUGGAGUAUGUGGUUUAAUUCGACGCAACGCGAAGAACCUUACCAGGUCUUGACAUUGAUGGACAGAACUAGAGAUAGUUCCUCUUCUUCGGAAGCCAGAAAACAGGUGGUGCACGGUUGUCGUCAGCUCGUGUCGUGAGAUGUUGGGUUAAGUCCCGCAACGAGCGCAACCCCUAUCUUAUGUUGCCAGCACUUUGGGUGGGGACUCAUGAGAGACUGCCGCAGACAAUGCGGAGGAAGGCGGGGAUGACGUCAAAUCAUCAUGCCCCUUAUGACCUGGGCUACACACGUACUACAAUGGGAGUUAAUAGACGGAAGCGAGAUCGCGAGAUGGAGCAAACCCGAGAAACACUCUCUCAGUUCGGAUCGUAGGCUGCAACUCGCCUACGUGAAGUCGGAAUCGCUAGUAAUCGCAGGUCAGCAUACUGCGGUGAAUACGUUCCCGGGCCUUGUACACA
rnacentral:rRNA from 1 species